rnacentral:rRNA from 1 species
GACGAACGCUGGCGGCGUGCCUAACACAUGCAAGUCGAGCGGGAUCCAUCUGGUGGCAACACCGGGGAAGAUCUAGCGGCGAACGGGUGAGUAACACGUGAGAAACCUGCCCCGAACUUCGGGAUAACACGGGGAAACCCGCGCUAAUACCGAAUACCCUCUACCGGUCGCAUGGCCGGAAGCGGAAAGAUUCAUCGGUUCGGGAGGGUCUCGCGGCCUAUAAGCUAGUUGGCGGGGUAACGGCCCACCAAGGCAUCGACGGGUAGCUGGUCUGAGAGGACGAUCAGCCACACUGGGACUGAGACACGGCCCAGACUCCUACGGGAGGCAGCAGUGGGGAAUCUUGCGCAAUGGGCGAAAGCCUGACGCAGCAACGCCGCGUGCGGGAUGAAGGCCUUCGGGUUGUAAACCGCUUUCAGCAGGGAAGAAAAUGACGGUACCUGCAGAAGAAGCCCCGGCCAACUACGUGCCAGCAGCCGCCGUAA